rnacentral:rRNA from 1 species
GACGAACGCUGGCGGCGUGCUUAACACAUGCAAGUCGAACGGAAAGGCCCUGCUUUUGUGGGGUGCUCGAGUGGCGAACGGGGGAGUAAAACGUGAGUAGCCUGCCCUUGUCUUUGGGAUAACUUCAGGGAACUGGGGCGAAUACCGGAUAGGAGCUCCUGCUGCAUGGUGGGGGUUGGAAAGUUUCGGCGGUUGGGGAUGGACUCGCGGCUUAUCAGCUUGUUGGUGGGGUAGUGGCUUACCAAGGCAUUGACGGGUAGCCGGCCUGAGAGGGUGACCGGCCACAUUGGGACUGAGAGACGGCCCAGACUCCUACGGGAGGCAGCAGUGAGGGACAUUGCACAAUGGGCGGAAGCCGGAUGCAGCAACGCCGCGUGCGGGAUGACGGUUUUCGGGUUGUAAACCGCUUUCGCCUGUGACGAAGCGCGAGUGACGGUAAUGGGUAAAGAAGCACCGGCUAACUACGUG